CCAAAACAGGAAAAAGUUACUGAAAACUACCCAGAAAUUAGAUUUUAUCUCUUUAUCUCUCCUGGGUCGUAUAAGCAUGGGGUUUUGUAUCUAUAAAAACUGUAAAUGAAAUCCUUAUCCCUACCGUGUUCUUUCACAGUAUGCAAGAGAGAUGGAAGAGAGGAAGAGGUCUUUAGAGAGGAGACAGUUGACCAGAACAGGAACAGACAUAGAGCAUUGUAGACCUUUCCAAAGAUCCAAAGAUGCUUUCAGAAACUUGGCUCUUCUCACAGAAGUGGGGCUUUCUGUUACAAGCCUUAGCUGCUCUAAGACCAAAGCUGGCCCUGGACCCCAAUGCUGUAAUGGUGAAAAAUCCUCAAAACCUGUUAACUAGUGGUCCUUCAACUGAAAUAUAAUAACUGGCCAUAAACUUGCAGUGUCACAGAAUAAUGGUGGUCGAACCUCUGGAUAUUGUGUAAUCCACCCUACACGCACUGCUCAGAGCAGGUCAGCAGGUCAGGUUGCUCAGAUCAUGUUUAAAUAACUGCAAGGAUGGAGACUCCACAGCCUCUCUGGGCAAUCUGUGCUAAUGCUUGGUGAUUUUGAGUGCAAGUGCAAGUGAUUUCCUUGCAUCUAGCUGGAAUUUCCGAUGUUGGAGCAUGUCUUUCAUCCUGCCCCUGUGUAUCUCCAAGGAGAGCCUGACUCUGUCGUCUCUGCACACUCCCAUGUGACAGCUGCUGUUUUUACUGUGCAUCUCAAGCAGCACCAGACUGUACUCUGCUUUAGUAGCUACAGCUCAGAGAUAUGCUGACAGAUGUGGAGUGGCAGCUUAUGAAAUACAAUAAUACAAUUGUAAACACUUGUUGGCUCAUAUCAUCACCUCUGCUGUUAUCUCUYACAAGACAAUAAAAGAUAAACCUUUAUCUGAGGUUUGAAUCCAUUGAUUUUUACCCAAUAUGGAUGAAGGACUUCAGAUGGGUUUAUGUGUUUUGCAAACAGAGUAGGUCUGUCUCUGCUCAGAUAGUACUGURGUUUACUAUCUGGAUGGAGUCAUUUGGCUUCUGGCAGAAUCUACAAACUUAAACGAAAAGAAGUUUUAAACCAGUCAAUAGUUAUCUGGCAUUACUCACGUUUUUAAUCUAGGGGGCUUGGUUUUGGUAAUUCAAGAACAGUGCACUUGCAAAAAAAUAUGUGUACGGUAMGGAUUCUCACCAUUUAUCACGUCCAGCUAAUCUUCUAAUUUGUUAGUUUAUGGAAUAUUUGGAUUAAAAAAAGGGGCACAACAAUUUUGUGCUGGUUAGCAAAAGGCUUUGCUGGGCUUUCUGAGGCUCGUGUGGAGCCCUGAAGAAGAGGAAUGAUGUGAUGGCAGCACAGAUAGGUGCAGGCUGAACAACAGGAGGGGUGGUUGGCAGGAAGGGCUGUCCCCACAGCGCUGAUUCAGCACCCAGGCUCUAAUUGUGCAAGAGGAAUGGCACUUUAGAGGUGUUUACAUCCUCUUAUCAGACCUGUCAGUGUAAAUAAUGCCUUUGUCAGCAGUAUUUCUGUGACCAAAAAACCUUUGCAAAUGCACUGUAAGGACUGUCUGGACCUCCUAUAGCAAGGUAAAUCAUGCUGUUUGAGCUCUUGCAAGUCCUUUGGAGAGGGACAGGAAAGAUGUGAUUCUGCCAUGGUCAGAAAGUUCGUUCAUCAUGUUUCAUCUAAUUUCAACCUUCAUGGCUACAUUACCUUCAGAGAACCCAUACUGAUUUAAGAUCCUGUUCAAAAUACCCAAAUACUCUGUGAUAAGAAGUGCUGUGGUUAUGCAUUAUGCCCUUGUAUAUAGGCUAUAAUCAGUUUCAUAAUGUGAAAAAUUUUCCUUGCUG